GGAGCCUCCGCUUCUGCUGCUGCUGCUCCUCCUCGGAGGGAGGGAGGGAAGGAGGAGAGGAGAGGCUGCUCCCGCCCGGGGUCAGCAGCAGGGCGCCCAGCCCAAGAGCCUCACCUCCCCAUGCAGUUUGACACCACUUGAAUCGCUGUUUGUCAGUACUAUGGAGUGCUGGGAGUUGCGUUUUGUUGAGGCACCAGCAUCCUGGACAGAGGAGGUUAAAGGCCCUGUGGAAGCACAACUCCCAGGAUUCCCUAGUCAUUUUUUUUUUCGUGUCAAGAGCAACCUGAGUUGCUUCUGGAGUCUGCAAGGACUUUGCCCAGGGGAUGCCCGGAUGUUUUUGGUGUUUUACCAUCCUUGUGGGAGGCUUCUCUCAUGUCCCCGCAUGGAGCUGGAGCUUAUAGAGGGAGCUCAUCCGCGCUCUCCCCGGGUGAGAUUCGAACCUGGCAGCCUUCAGGUAAAGGUGAAGGUUUUCCCCCUGACGUUAAGUCCAGUCGUGACCAACUCUGGGGAUUGGUGCUCAUCUCCAUUUCUGAACUGAAGAACCGGUGUUGUCCGUAGACACCUCCAAGGUCAUGUGGCCGGUAUGACUGCAUGGAGCGCCGUUACCUUCCCGCCGGAGCAGUAUCUAUUGAUCUACUCACAUUUGCAUGUUUUUGAACUGCUAGGUUGGCAGGAGCUGGGGCUAACAGCGGCCGCUCAUUCUGCUCCUGGGAUUUGAACCUGGAACCUUUUGGUCAGCAAGUUCACCAGCUCAGUGCUUUAACACACUGCGCCACCGGGGCUCCAAUACUCCCAUGCAUAAUAUCCGUUAUCCCAAUACCCCCAUGCAUAUGGGAUAUAUUGAGCAUGGUGAUCAGAUCAUGAUAUGAAUAAACAUAACAGUUUAAAUAAUAAAUGUUAUUUAUUUACUUU